rnacentral:rRNA from 1 species
AAUGUGAACCAUACCAAACUGUUGCCUCGGCGGGGUCACGCCCCGGGUGCGUCGCAGCCCCGGAACCAGGCGCCCGCCGGAGGGACCAACCAAACUCUUUCUGUAGUCCCCUCGCGGACGUUAUUUCUUACAGCUCUGAGCAAAAAUUCAAAAUGAAUCAAAACUUUCAACAACGGAUCUCUUGGUUCUGGCAUCGAUGAAGAACGCAGCGAAAUGCGAUAAGUAAUGUGAAUUGCAGAAUUCAGUGAAUCAUCGAAUCUUUGAACGCACAUUGCGCCCGCCAGUAUUCUGGCGGGCAUGCCUGUCCGAGCGUCAUUUCAACCCUCGAACCCCUCCGGGGGGUCGGCGUUGGGGAUCGGGAACCCCUAAGACGGGAUCCCGGCCCCGAAAUACAGUGGCGGUCUCGCCGCAGCCUCUCCUGCGCAGUAGUUUGCACAACUCGCACCGGGAGCGCGGCGCGUCCACGUCCGUAAAACACCCAACUUCUGAAAUGUUGACCUCGGAUCAGGUAGGAAUACCCGCUGAACUUAAGCAU